AUCAUGCCACUUCUGGCUCUCUGGAACAAACAGUAGGAAAGUUAUGCGUCUUACCCUGGGGCUGGGCCACCAGGGAGUUUUGCGGAGAAGUACAAGAUUGGAUGUCUGAAUCAGUUUGCGAUAUGUAUGCAUAUUUGGAGCAGAAGUGGAGAACAGAAAAAAUAAAGAUUGAUUCAUGGUUGUUUUAUUGAUAA